rnacentral:rRNA from 1 species
ACGGGAGGCAGCAGUGGGGAAUAUUGCACAAUGGGUGCAAGAAGAAUCCAGCCAUGCCGCGUGAGUGAUGAAGGCCUUAGGGUUGUAAAGCUCUUUUAUCCGGGACGAUAAUGCCGGUACCGGAGGAAUAACCCCCGGUUAAUUUGGUCCCACCACCCGCGUUAAUCGGAAGGGGCCUAGCGUUGUUGGGAAUCAUGGGGGGUAAAGGGCGGGUAGGGGUCGUUUUAAUUCGGGGGGGAAACCCCGGGGUUCACCCGCGGAAUGCCCUUGGAUAUUGCGGCGCUGGAUUUUGGUGGAGGUUGGUGGAUUUCCGAGGGUAGAGGUAAAAUUGGUAGAUUUUGGCAAGAACCCCGGUGGGGAAGGGGCCCCAUUGGCCCAUUACUGCCGUUGAGGCGGGAAAGCGUGGGGACCAACCAGG